rnacentral:rRNA from 1 species
GAAAGCGGAAAGAGCCCWGCACCUAAUCCCCCAGUGUUACGCUGGWGGAAACUGUGGUGUAUGGGUCGCCACCAGUCGCGCGUGCGAGCACCGAAGUCCUCCUGAUCGAGGCUUCACCCAGAGCGGGUGUAAGGCCUUUGCUGGUGCUUGCUGCGCGGCYGCGAGCGUCUCAGGAGUCGGKNUGUUUGGGAAUGCAGCCCAAAGUGGGUGGNNAAC